GGUUCGAGCCCCGUCUCUCGCGCCAUUCAUGGCGGAAGAUUUUCACUUAUAGUUAGCCGACCGGGGCAACCCGGACGAUCGUGUCCUGAUGGCCCAUGAGGUCAUCCUUUCGAUCCCGCUUGGUUCACCCGGUGCGAAUAUCACCGCGGACUGCUCGCGCGCCCGCGAAACAAACCUUGACAUCCUGCUAGUCUGGAUAGACAGCAGUUUGCGUGUUUUCUGACAUCGUAAAGAGGAGAUCGAUCCGAGUUGGGUCGUGCAGCAUAUCGUUGCGCGAGCCUUCAUUAUCUCCGGAUCAUUUCGGCGCUCGCUUCCAGCCGUGAGGUUGGAUGCGGGUUGUAAAUGAUCCUUUUAGCGAAGCUUGACCGCCUCGCUAUCGGAACGAUCUUACGAAGCAAGCUGGUCUUUCUAGUCAAUGUCCGGCUGCGGAUAGCGUUCAUCGAGGGCGCGUGCCGCAAGGCAAUUCUGCAGACAACAUUCUGCCGAGUGUGUGGACAUUGAUAAUGAGAGCAAUCAAGUGCCUUAAGGGUGUUCGGUGGAUGCCUUGGCGCUGAGAGGCGAUGAAGGACGUGCUACGCUGCGAUAAGCCGUGGGGAGCUGCGAAGAAGCUUUGAUCCGCGGAUUUCCGAAUGGGGAAACCCGG
rnacentral:misc_RNA from 1 species